rnacentral:rRNA from 1 species
GACGAACGCUGGCGGCGUGCUUAACACAUGCUUUUCGAACGGAAAGGCCCUGCUUUUGUGGGGUGCUCGAGUGGCGAACGGGUGAGUAACACGUGAGUAACCUGCCCUUGACUUUGGGAUAACUUCAGGAAACUGGGGCUAAUACCGGAUAGGAGCUCCUGCCGCAUGGUGGGGGUUGGAAAGUUUCGGCGGUUGGGGAUGGACUCGCGGCUUAUCAGCUUGUUGGUGGGGUAGUGGCUUACCAAGGCUUUGACGGGUAGCCGGCCUGAGAGGGUGACCGGCCACAUUGGGACUGAGAUACGGCCCAGACUCCUACGGGAGGCAGCAGUGGGGAAUAUUGCACAAUGGGCGGAAGCCUGAUGCAGCAACGCCGCGUGCGGGAUGACGGCCUUCGGGUUGUAAACCGCUUUCGCCUGUGACGAAGCGUGAGUGACGGUAAUGGGUAAAGAAGCACCGGCUAACUACGUGCCGGCAGCCGCGGUGAUACGUAGGGUGCGAGCGUUGUCCGGAUUUAUUGGGCGUAAAGGGCUCGUAGGUGGUUGAUCGCGUCGGAAGUGUAAUCUUGGGGCUUAACCCUGAGCGUGCUUUCGAUACGGGUUGACUUGAGGAAGGUAGGGGAGAAUGGAAUUCCUGGUGGAGCGGUGGAAUGCGCAGAUAUCAGGAGGAACACCAGUGGCGAAGGCGGUUCUCUGGGCCUUUCCUGACGCUGAGGAGCGAAAGCGUGGGGAGCGAACAGGCUUAGAUACCCUGGUAGUCCACGCUGUAAACGGUGGGUACUAGGUGUGGGGUCCAUUCCACGGGUUCCGUGCCGUAGCUAACGCUUUAAGUACCCCGCCUGGGGAGUACGGCCGCAAGGCUAAAACUCAAAGGAAUUGACGGGGCCCCGCACAAGCGGCGGAGCAUGCGGAUUAAUUCGAUGCAACGCGUAGAACCUUACCUGGGUUUGACAUGGAUCGGGAGUGCUCAGAGAUGGGUGUGCCUCUUUUGGGGUCGGUUCACAGGUGGUGCAUGCCUGUCGUCAGCUCGUGUCGUGAGAUGUUGGGUUAAGUCCCGCAACGAGCGCAACCCUUGUUCACUGUUGCCAGCACGUUAUGGUGGGGACUCAGUGGAGACCGCCGGGGUCAACUCGGAGGAAGGUGGGGAUGACGUCAAGUCCUCAUGCCCCUUAUGUCCAGGGCUUCACGCAUGCUACAAUGGCUGGUACAGAGAGUGGCGAGCCUGUGAGGGUGAGCGAAUCUCGGAAAGCCGGUCUCAGUUCGGAUUGGGGUCUGCAACUCGACCUCAUGAAGUCGGAGCCGCUAGUAAUCGCAGAUCAGCAACGCUGCGGUGAAUAAAUUCCCGGG